AAGGAAACCUCAAAGGGUAUCCAGAGAGGUAAGUGGCAAAUCAGAAAUGGCUGGAUUUCUAAAAGAGAAGGAAAAAGGAAUUCUAAAAAGAAAUGAAUGGCUAACAGAGUGAGUGGUAAAUAAAUGUCUAUAAGAUGAUAACUUUUCAAUGUCUAUUGAUUUUUUAUUGAUGCGUAAUAAUUGUACAUAUUUAUGAAAUGCAUGUGACAUUUUGAUACAUACAUACAACAUGUAAUUAUCAAAUCAUGGUAAUUGAGUUAACCAUUGCUUCAAACAUUUAUUAUUUCCUUGUGUUGACAACAUUCCAAAUCUAGCUAUUUUGAAAUAUACAAUAAAUUAUUGAUAACUAUAGUCACCAUACUGUGCUACUGAACUACUGAUUUUUUUAACAACACAAAAAUCAUGAUUUUGGUCUUUUCAGCAAAAGGUCAACUGCUAUGGGAAGAGGCAUUGUGAUGAGACAAGGAAGAAAAAAUUUGAAUAUAGAAAUCUCCUUCUAGAGGUUGCUGGAUCCUCUAAAGAGGAGAAAAGAGUCAUGGUGUUAACUGGAUGAGGAUGUUGAAGAGAGAUUAAAUGUCUCCCAAGAGAGUGAAUGGAGGAGGAUCUGGGUUAGGAAGUCUGAGGUAUGUGAGAAGUUUUAGAAAAUGGCAGUGAGAUGUGAUUACAGAGAAGAAUACUUUCCUGGAAACAUUGUGGGCCUAGUUAAUUUUGAAGGUAACAACAUUUAUUUAUUUAUUUAUUUAUUUAUUUAUUUAUUUAUUUGAGACAGAGUCACACUCUGUUGUCUAGGCUGGAGUGCAGUGGCAUGAUCUCAGCUCACUGCAACCUCUGUCUUCCAGGUUCAAGCAAUUCUCCUGCCUCAGCCUCCCGAAUAGCUGGGAUUACAGAUGUGUGCCACCAUGCCCGGCUAAUUUUUUUGUAUUUUUAGUAGAGACAGGGUUUUGCUGUGUUGGCCUGGCUGGUCUCAAAUUCCUGGCCUCAAGUGAUCCACCCACCUUGGCCUCCCAAAGUGCUGGGAUUACAAGCAUGAGCCCCUGCUCCCGGCUGGUAACAGUAUGUUUUAAUGACACCAAUCUGCGCAUCGGUGUACUCUGAUCAGACAAGAUAUGCAUUACAAUAAGGAAGAUACAGAUUCAUGAUUGGGAAUUAAUUAGAUCACUGCUAUGAUGCAGAAUUGGGAUGAGAAUAAUAUAGUCAAUGACUAAAGAUUGAAAGCAACAGGUAAUAGAGUAUAAGCAUUAUAGGUAAGAAAAUAAAAGAUAAGAAGCUUCUGAGAAAUAAGGUGAAAAUAAAGGGGAACAAAGCUGGAGGCAUCAUAUGCCCCACCUUCAAACUAUACUACAAGGCUACAGUAACCAAAACAGCAUGGCACUGGUACAAAAAUAUACACAUAGACCAAUGGAACAGAAUAGGGAACUCAGGAAUAAGGCUGCCCAUCUACAACUAUCUGAUCUUUGACAAAGCUGACAAAAACAAGCAAUGGGGAAAGGAUUCCCUAUUCAACAAAUGGUGUUGGGAUAACUGACUAGACAAAUCAGAAGAUUGAAAUGGGACCCCUUCCUUACACUGUCUACAAAAACUAAGUCAAGAUGGAUUAAAGACUUAAAUGUAAAACCCAAAAGUAUAAAAACCUUAGAAGACAACUUAGCAAUACCAUUCUGGACAUAGAAAUGGGCAAAAAUUUCAUGACGAAGACACUAAAUGCAAUUGCAACAAAAGCAAAAAUUGACAAAUGGGAUCUAAUUAAACUAAACAGCUUCUAAACAGCAAAAGAAACUAUCUACAGAGUGAACAGACAACCUACAGAAUGGAAGAAAAUGUUUGCGAACUAUGCAUCAGACAAAAGUCUAAUAUUCAGCAUCUAUAAGGAACUUAAACAAAUUUACAAGAAGAAAAAACCCCAACAAAAAGUGAGCAAAGGACACGAACAGACACUUUUCAAAAGAAGUUAUUAUUGUUGGCUGCAUGUAUGUCUUACAUGUAUGUCUUAUACAUGCAGUCAACAAUAAUACGAAAAAAAGCUCAACUUCACUGAUCGUUAGAGAAAUGCAAAAUAAAACCACAAAGAGAUUCCAUCUCACACCAGUCAGAAUGGCUAUGAGUAAAAAGUCAAAAAACAACAGAUGCUAGCAAUGUUGCAGAGAAAAAGGAACACUUAUAUACUGUUGGUGGGAAUGUAAAUUAGUUCAACCACUGUGGAAGACAGUAUGCCAAUUCCUUGAAGAUUGAAAAACAGAAAUACCAUUUGACCCAGCAAUACCAUUUCUGGGUAUAUACUCAAAGGAAUAUAAGUCAUUCUAUCAUAAAGACACAUGGAUGUGUAUGUUCAGUGCAGCACUGUGCACAAUAGCAAAGACAUGGAAUCGACCUAAAUGCCCAUCAAAGACUGGAUAAAGAAAAUGUGGUAAUAUAUACACCAUGGAAUCCUACACAGCCAUAAAAAGAAAUGAGAUUAUGUCCUUUACAGGAACAUGGGUGGAACUGGAGGCCAUUAUUCUCAGCAAACUAACACAGGAACAGAAAACCAAAUACUGCACAUUCUCUUUUAUAAGUGGGAAUGAAGUGAUGAGAACUCAUGGACACAAAGAGGGAAAAACACACACUGGGGCCUACUUGAGGGUGGAGGGUGGGAGCAGGAAUAGGAUCAGGAAAAAUAACAAAUAAGUACUAGGUUUAAUGCCUGGAUGACAAAAUAAUCUGUAUAAGAAACCCCCAUGACACAGAAUUACCUAUAUAACAAACCUACACAAGUUUACCUGUAUAACAAACCUAUUUUAAGUUCAAUACCCCUGAACUUAAAACAAAAGUUAAAUAAAAAAAAAAAAAAGAAAAGAAAGGUGUCAAGGGACUAAAUAACCAAAUAUAGUCAAAGAACAAGUACAGUGAGAGUAACUGAGGGUGAGAAUCUCAGGGUGGGAGGUUUUAGACUGCAGGUAAGAUUUCAGAGGUGGAGCAGAACAUUAUCAUAAGACCUGUCUAGAUGGUGGCUAUGGGAGUUAAUGGCUAAAGGGGAUUCAAAUUAAUGGUCUUUAAAGUUGAUGAGUUCGGGCUUCUCACUGAAUGGCUCAUGUAUCCUCAUAGCGAAUCUAACUCAUGUCCCUAGUAUUUUAUUGCAUCCUUAGUAUUUGCCAGUAAAAAUUUUCAAUUAUAAAUAAAUAUAUUUGUUCAGUAAAUAUUUUCUAAGUACUUACUAUUUGCCAGGCACUGUCCUAGAUACAGAGGAUGCUUCAGUGAAUAAAAACCAAAAAUACAGGCCUCAAACAUUUGUGUGUUCAAAUACAGGAGAGUAGAGGAUGGUGUUAAACAAAAGGUAAAUGAGAUUAAAGACUGUGUGAAAGAGAAAAGGAGUGUGAAUAAAGU
rnacentral:lncRNA from 1 species